rnacentral:ncRNA from 1 species
GUAGAGCUAAGGGACACUGUGGAAACGGCAGGUCAGGCCUGAUCGGAAACAGCAGCAGGUGAGUCCGCCUUAUGUGAAGGAUCGGCUGAAACACGAGGAAAUACUGAGCCAACGCAAGACGGUAGCCGAACAGUAGCAAC